ensembl:snoRNA SNORD36 Small nucleolar RNA SNORD36
GUGCUAUGAUGCAUUGAAUUUCUUCGACUGAAUCCUCUAUGUGGAUCACAAACGAGCUUUUUAACCCUGAGCAGC